ensembl:lncRNA
GCCUCGUCCUCAAGAACUGCUGAGCUCCUUCAAGUCUGCAGUCUGAGGCUGAUGGAUCAAUGACCUCCUUAACCUUUUAACACCACAUGUACCCGUCUGCUUCCACACGCCUAUCCCACACGUCUGUCACUUACUCACCUCACUAACUAACCUCACAACUUCACUUUCCUCUCUACUCCUUCCCGUUGCUCUUCCUUCACCAGGGUUCGAACCUUUACUCUGAAGGAGUGUCUUCUUGAGCCUUUACUCUGAAGGUGUUGUCUUUUGCCCUCAGAGGGUUCAGUGUCAGGGUUCAGAGUCAGGGUUUAGAGUCAGGGACAGAGCUGGUUAGGGAGAACUGUUUUUCACUCAAACCUAUUCAUUUGCUUUCUGAAUGGUUACACCAUUUACAAAAAUGUAUUAUGGAAAUGUUUUUCUGUGCUAUGCUGGACCGGAGGCUGGAGGGCCGGGAGGCUGGAGGCUGGGCUGCUGGAGGACCAGAGGG